ensembl:lncRNA
CGCGAGACGGAUUAAAGUUACAAUGACAGAAAUUUCCUUUAAAUGCCAAACCUUUGAAAAUUAUUAAAUAAUCAUUAAUACAGUUUUAAUAACCACAAAACUUUACGUUUAAAGAUUAAGUUUAGCGCAGUAAAUAGACACUCGCAAACAAAACCAUAGCAACAGCAGGCUGCUCGAGCGCUUUCAGUGAGGAUCUGUAACGGACGAAAUGUAAGUAACGUUAACUUUACUAUCAUUAUUGAUGUAGCAUAUUUCUGUAUCGCAAGUAUAUCACAAAACAAGUGUUUGUUUAUCAAAAGACGGGCACUACGGUUGGACAAGUCUCGAGACUGAAACCCCCUUGAAAGUCACCGAAUGACUUAGAAAGGUAACGUUAGCGCAGUGGUUUCAUCUUUAGCUAACAUUUGUAAGUUAGAUUAAAAUAUGAAAAAUAUAAAUAAUCAUAUCCAUCGACUGUGCUGUAAACUGUCUAAACCAUUGUGAAGUUAAAUUAAACUUGUGUUCAGAGUCCUUCUCCUGUGACUGGGAUAUCAUCUGAUCUGUACUUCAGGUGGAUGAGUUACUGUUACCUGCGCGCAGGUGCGCUCCGUCCUCCUGGUACAUCAUCCUCCUCUGACUACAGAAGAUGGAUGUUUAUCCUUCACUACUCCGGGACAAAUCACUUUAGUUUGUUAAUCGUACCUCAGAGAUUUUAACUUGAUUAAUCCUAUGAUAAUCUGAAGGAGAAUUCCAAUCGAUCCUCCUAAAAUGAAAUGUAAUGUAAUUUCUUGAUCGUUGAAGGACACCCGUCGCUCUGAGAUGAACGAACAGCGGGACAUACAACUGUUUUCACUCUGUACACUUUUCAUUUUCAAGCUAUUUGUGCUUCAAGGAUUUAUUUGCCAGGAAUCAAACUCAGAAAAUAAACUACCCAGGUAUGUGGUUGAAUCCAACUUCUUGUUCUGAUGCUGUUGACAUUGUGAUGCUGAUGGCUAGGUGUAUGAUCAUAAUGCUUUUAGAUUUUUAAACAUGUUGAGCACAGAUUGCAGGUUGAUUGUACCUUUAAAACUGGUGAACCCUAUCAAACAUCCGCUAUUACAAGGAGGUUUUGAGCAAAGAGACAGUGUCAAGUUCUACAUGCAGUCACUGAUAAGAUGUUAAGUGUUUGGUCUAAUGUUUUGUGGUAACCAUUAAACCAGUUCCUUGAGAAUCAUGCGGUCCAUCAGCGUGACUGUGUCUGUAUGGCAUCUUAAGUGUUUCUGAACCUUUAGUUUCACAGUCGCCGCACUUUUAAUACUGCUCUCUUUGUGCCACUUUUAAAAGGAGGGUUAAUGCACUGCGGCAGAAACGGGAUCUCUUCCGUGAAGAGGUGAGUAUACCUAAGAGAAAGCGACAAGGGACAGAGUGAAGUAAACACACACACACACACACACACACACAAAUACUGAGAUACACUCAGUGCUGACAAAGCUGUCUUUGUGGAGUUUGCACAAAUGCUACAGCCACUAAAAGCUCCAUUCCCAAAUGUCUGCAGUGGCAAAACCAUGUGAAGGAAUGCCAAGACAGGUUCACCAACAUGGCUUAGUGGCUAGACAUGGUACUGUUGC